rnacentral:misc_RNA from 1 species
GUUCCGUAGGUGAACCUGCGGAAGGAUCAUUCAUAAUCAAGUGUUUUAUGGCACUUUUUAAAAAUCCAUAUCCACCUUGUGUGCAAUGUUAGAUCUCGUCAAUCUUGGCGAGAUUUUUAUACAUCAACUCAUUCUUUAACUAAUUUGUCUGAAAAAUAUUAUGAAUACUUAAUACAAAAUACAACUUUCAACAACGGAUCUCUUGGCUCUG